GUACGUGAAACCGCUUGGAGGUAAACGGGUGGAACCGCAAAGUCCGGACGGGUCAUUCAGCGGGGGCUGUUGGGAGGCAUGUAGGCGACCGGAUCGCAAGACCGCGCCUGUGUGCCGAGCUUCAGUCCGCGUGCACUUGGCCCGCUCGGAGCGCCACGACCGGUUCUCUGGCUGUCAUAAGCACGGUGCGAAGGUAGCUCCCCGCCUUGUGUGGGUAGUGUUAUAGCGCACCGUUUGCAUUGGCCAGCCGGGGGACCGAGGAACUAGCCUCGCGCCCGCACUCUGUGCCGGCGGCUCUGUGCCACGGUUGGCGCCUCUCUGUGGGACCGCUUGCGGUGCCUUAGGGAAUGGUGCUGGCCGUCGGUUGCGGAUGUCUGCCGUUGGGCGCUCGGGGUCUGUGGCGAACCGGUCGGCCCUCCACCCGACCCGUCUUGAAACACGGACCAAGGAGUCUAACAUGUGCGCGAGUCAUGGGGUGCUACGAAACCUAAAGGCGCAAUGAAGGUAAAGCCACUCUCGGGUGGCGAGGUGGGAUCCCUUCUUCGGAGGGGCGCACCACCGGCCCGUCACUAGCCUCCG
rnacentral:rRNA from 1 species